rnacentral:rRNA from 1 species
AUCUAUGGCCAUGCCACCCUGAACAAGCCAAUCCCGUCUGUUCUCAGAAGCUAAGCAGGGUCAGGCCUGGUUAGUACUUGGAUGGGAGACCACCUAGGAAGACCAGGUGCUGUAAGAG